rnacentral:lncRNA from 1 species
AACCCAUGGUCCCAGUAACCCAAGUACCUAAGCCUAGCUCAUCUGGAGGGAGCAAGGUCAAGAUGACCGAUUACAUGAAGCUGGGUGCUCCCCAGUUUGAAACAGGUGAUGACCCAUUUGUGUACCUAGAGAGGGUCAAGAUGAUUACAGAUGAGAUAGGAGCUGACGACAGUAGAGCCAUUCAGAUGGCUGGGUUCACACUGAAGUGCAAGAAGGCCCGAGAGUGGUUUAAAAAUUAUGUGAGCCCGAGGGUGGAUGGUCUUUCAUGGGAG